UGCAUUUGUGCUCUGGCAUGGGACGAAUUGCUCUGGGUGAGGAUUGAUACAUUGCUGACUGGUGAGCACCGCACAGUGUCAGUCUCCAGAAACAAAUGGAGGAAGAUUGACACAGAAUGAGUUCAUAUUUCAAGAAGCCACAGGAUUUAAUCUAUUUGUGUGUCUUUGUGUUUAUGUGUCAGUCAUAAAGGAGUUUGUGAAUUACUUGUCUCAUGACAUAAUUCAAAACUCAGAAAUGUUAUUUUCCUAUUAAAAUGAAGGAUUGACUUUGUAGUGCUCCUGUGGGCAUGGAAAAAAUAUUGGAGAAAUGCUAUUAAUAAAUAAAUUUAAUAUGGG